GGCAGGGCUUUGCAGAGGGCCUAGCCUGAUCUGACCUUGGCUUUCUACAGUCACCACAAUGGGCCCUUUGUGGGGUCCAGCCGCCUCAUGGUCCACGUUGUGCUGGGCUAGGCCUUCUGGAAGUCUGCCUAACAGGGGAUCUACAUCCAGACUUUCCCUUGAGUGCCUGUGGGACCUCGUGCACCUUACCUCCUGUGUGCUUUCCUGUCUGUGAAAUGGGGAUGAGAACAGUACCCGUUGUUGAGAAGAUUAACUGAGCCAGUGUGUGUAAAGCAUUUAGAUACAGAGUAUGCACCCAAUAAAUAUUGGCCACUCUU